rnacentral:rRNA from 1 species
CCUACGGGUGGCAGCAGUGAGGAAUAUUGGUCAAUGGACGGAAGUCUGAACCAGCCAUGCCGCGUGCAGGAAGACGGCUCUCUGAGUUGUAAACUGCUUUUGUACAAGGGUAAACCUGUAUACGUGUAUUCUUCUCACUGUACUGUAAGAAUAAGGAUCGGCUAACGCCGUGCCAGCAGCCGCGGUAAUACGGAGGAUCCGAGCGUUAUCCGGAUUUGUUGGGUUUAAGGGGUGGGUAGGCGGGUUGGUAAGUUAGUGGGGAAAUGUCCGGGCUUAACUCUGAGACUGCCUCUAAUACUGUUGAUCUUGAGUGCAGGUGCGGUAGGCGGAAUGUCUGGUGUAGCGGUGAAAUGCUUAGAGAUCA